rnacentral:rRNA from 1 species
UACGGAGGAUGCGAGCGUUAUUCGGAUUUAUUGGGUUUAAAGGGUGCGUAGGCGGUCCGUUAAGUCAGCGGUAAAAUUGCGGGGCUCAACCCCGUCGAGCCGUUGAAACUGGCAGACUUGGGUUGGCGAGAAGUACGCGGAAUGCGCGGUGUAGCGGUGAAAUGCAUAGAUAUCGCGCAGAACUCCGAUUGCGAAGGCAGCGUACCGGCGCCAGACUGACGCUGAGGCACGAAAGCGUGGGGAUCGAACAGG